rnacentral:rRNA from 1 species
UACGUAGGUGACAAGCGUUGUCCGGAUUUACUGGGCGUAAAGAGCGCGCAGGCGGUCGAUCAAGUCGAGUGUGAAAGCCCCCGGCUCAACUGGGGAGGGUCAUUCGAUACUGAUCGACUCGAAGACAGGAGAGGGUAGUGGAAUUCCCGGUGUAGUGGUGAAAUGUGUAGAUAUCGGGAGGAACACCAGUGGCGAAGGCGACUACCUGGCCUGUUCUUGACGCUGAGGCGCGAAAGCUAGGGGAGCAAACGGG